UCCCCGUUACCGGGGCAGUCUAGCUAGAAAAAUUCAACUAACUACAAGGGUUGCGCUCGUUGAUGGACUUAACCAAACAUCUCACGACACGAGCUGACGACGGCCAUGCAGCACCUGUCACUACGGUCCGAAGACACUCUCUGCUUUCGCAGAAAUUAGUAGGAUGUCAAGCCCUGGUAAGGUUCUUCGCUUAUCAUCGAAUUAAACAACACGCUCCACCGCUUGUGCGGGUCCCCGUCAAUUCCUUUAUGUUUUAGCCUUGCGGCCGUACUCCACAGGCGGGAUGCUUAACGCGUUAGCUUCGCUACUACUCGGGUCGAUACGAAUAACAGCUAGCAUCCAUCGUUUACGGCGUGGACUAC
rnacentral:misc_RNA from 1 species